UAGAUAAAUACCUUGAAGUUAAAAUGUCAUUCCCUUACUACAAAAUCUUAACCUCCACAGCCUCCACAACCACCACAACCUCCGCAAACUGCACCAUAAUCUCCGCCGCAUGCUCCACCAUCCGCACCGUCAUCACAAGGACGGCCGUCUCCAUUGCCAAUUUUACAGCAACCAGUUCCAGAGCAACCAUGUUUACGGCAAUCUUCUCCACAGCAACCCAUUUUACAGCAACCAUCUUGACAGCAAUGAUCCCAACAGCAAUCAUCGACAAAUCAUUCAUCACAGAGACCAUUUCCAUCAACAAUAUCACCAAAACCAUCACCGCUACCAUUUCUAAAGUUUCCUCUUUCAAAAUCCCCAACAUCAUUUAUAUCAUAGCCGUAAUUGUUUUUUUUUACACAAAUCGCCGACAAUACGAUUGAUGUUCACACUUCCACAGCCACUUAAAUCACGACAACUUCCCCAGAAUCCACUGUAGGCAUUUGGUCCCCAUCCCCAUCCCCAACCCUAUCCAAUACUUGGCCAAUACCCAUCAAUACCAUAACCUAACGGUCCUCCCAGGAUAUCACCUAAAGAACAUGAUAAAACAGCAUCAUAUGUAGAGGCUGUACACAUGUAAGUACUUUAUUUUUAUAAAUAAGAUAUACUUCAGUUUCUUUUGAUGGACAAAUUUAUUAGAAAAACCGAUUUGGUUU
rnacentral:lncRNA from 1 species